CGGAACCUGCCUCAUACAGAGGGAUAAUCAUGUGAAAACGUAGACUAAUACCGCAUGUCAUUACCGGAGGGGCAUCCUCCGGUAAGAAAAAGGAAGCAAUCCGGUAUGAGAUGGGCCCGCAUCUGAUUAGCUAGUUGGUGAGAUAACAGCCCACCAAGGCGGCGAUCAGUAGCCGACCUGAGAGGGUGAUCGGCCACAUUGGGACUGAGACACGGCCCAG
rnacentral:rRNA from 1 species